GACUGCCCGCUGUCUCAAAACCGUUCAGUUUGAAGGCAAACAGUAGAGAAAGGACUUGAAGAGACGUCAAGCAGUCGGAAGUAAAAUGACAGAGGACAUGUAGACCAUCAGCAGCAUUAUAGACCUUAACUCGAUUCCUUUGCUAACCAUCAGAAUUCAUGCCAGUUUGCGUUUGUGACUAAUUUGGAAGAAAUUGUUAUUCCCCAAUGAGAUGUCAAGUCACACUAGAGACAAUAAUCAAUGCACAACAGUGACAAAACUACAGUCUUGACAGUGAUGACUAAUCUGUGUUGUAGACUUUAACUCGUUCAUUUGCAAACUAUGAGAAUUGAUCAACAGCUUUCCGUUUGUUCCAAAUUUGGAAGAUUGUUAAGUCACAACAGAUGUUGCACCAGAUACCAUAUUCAAUACACAUCAGCCACAGUUUUGACAGUGAUGGAACCCCAAAGGAAGAUAUAACCCAUCAUCGUCGGAUUCUAUUCAAUGUGCCAAGUUGGGAUGCAGUAACCUGUCAAACGAAACCACAACCUACAGUACUAAGCCACUAACCAUGGGAAUGAAGAAUGCUUUCUAGUUUGCAUAAAGUAGUUGCUCAGGAAAACGCCAUCAUUACACAAGGUAUAUAUUCUCCUGCAAUUUGAUGUUGUAAAUGCCUUUGCGGGCUUUGCCCACUUGGCUUGUGUAGUUGUAAAGACUGAUCACAUAGUCAAUAGGACAAGAACGUUAGGAAACUUGAUCGGUUCAUCACAUGUAUAUUGUGUUUUGUAAAUUGUGUAAUAAUCAUGACUGGGUAAUUAAACCAACACACUGCUAUAGAGCUGCUCCCGAUUAAUCGAUUAUUUUUCCACAAUCGAUUAUGCUUAACUUACAGUAAUCAGAUCAUCUAUAACACCACACAGCGUGAUGUGGGAAUGAUUAAUUGAAAGAAACUGAUGUUAAUUUCUUUCCGGAUUAAAAAAAUUGCGACAAGAUUGUGAUUAAAGUAUAAAAAGACAAACCUUAAGGCAAAAUUCGUUGAUUCAAAACAUUGUGGAUCAAAUUCACUUGCAGCGUUGCAAAGUUUACCAUUGUCUGAUCAGGUUUAUUAGAUGAAUUUAUUAAUAAACCGAUCAUGCAUAAGAGUCUGAGUCUUGCAAAUUUACUUAGGAGUGUCAAAAGUAAACAACUAAAUCUUGUGUGAAGUGUAAGAGGGCGAGAAAGUGCGCAAUCUAUAAUUGUGAUUUAAAUUGGAUUUAAAACGUGUAUACUGAUUGGUGCAACCCCCAAAAUUUAGUAAACAGUUCACUUUACAAACCUGUCAAACCACCAUUGAGCAUGUCAUAUUCAAAUUGAUUAUCAAAACUAUUAAUCAAUAUUAAUCGAUUGUUGACAACGAUUAAUCGAUUGCAAAAAUUAAUCCAUGGGAGCAGCUUUACACUGCUAUUGGUUGGUUGGGCAAGAAACAAUGGUAAUUGAGCAAUGUACCCAACUUUGUUAUUUUACUUUGUCUAAUGCCAGGCGAUUUAUUCAUCAGGGGGGGGGGGGAGUGCUGUCACUCGAUUGGUUAACUUCCAACCCAUCCCAUGGAAAUCCAUUGACCUAGCCAGUGGAAAUUCCAUAUUUAUUCUUUGAUUGGUAGCUAUCCCUUGGAGAAUUCCUUGCUGAUUUUUAUCCUAUCCUUUGGGUUUUCUUUUUCAUUGUUGAUCAUCCCAUGGAAAUUCCAUAAAUUUUAGUCAUUUUUCAUACCUGCCCUGUGGAAUUUCCACAGAUUUGCCUUAAUAUUUGGAACCUCCCAUGGCAAUUCCUUCAUUUUUGGCUAUUGGAAAUUCCAGAUGUCCUCAAUAGGGGGGUGUGGAUAAAAAGUACAAUGGCCCAUUAUAUGCAUACACAGGAAUAUUUAGUUAACAGUGGCAGAUGCGUCAGUGUGCUGCACUAAAGCCCUGUUACACUAUGCUCAAUCUUUGGUACGGCACAGAUAAAAUUGGUACCCGUACCACUUUUUUGGUUCUUGGACUACCUAUUUAGCUUAACCUGAGUAUCAGGCUCUAUUUUACAAAUAGAGCCUGACACAAAACUUAACCUGAUCGCUUUCCGCCCACAGCAAAGUUUAUAUUUAGUAUCCAAUCAAAAUGUCGCAGGAGAAAUUUAAAUUUCACACAACGACAACAACAAUCUAAUUAUAGCAUAGACAGCCCACUAAACGGCUGCAUUUAAAUUAAAACUGCAAUGAACUUAUAAAAUUAACAAUAAUAAUCACAAAUUAGCGAAAUAUAUUGCAAAUGUAGCUUAUAUUAAAUCGCCACCCGAUUGCUCUCUCCUCCGCAGAGGUUUCAGUAACUACAAUGAGCUUUACAUGGCGCUUGCCGUAUUUAUCAACAAACUGACGUAUAAUUAUAAAGUAUAUAUAUAUAUAUAUUAAGUAUACUUUAUAACUAUACAUCAGUUAGUCGAUAGUGCAAUGUGAUGGCGAUUUAAUAUAAGCUACAUUUGCAAUAUAUUUUGCUAAUUUGCGAUUAUUUUCUAAUUUUACUGCAGUUUUAAUUUAAAUUCAGCCGUUUAGUGGGCCGGCUAUAAUUGUAGUUGUGAUCGUUAUAAAAUAUAUCAACAACAAUAGUAUAAUCUAAUUAGCACCAGCCAAUCAAAUGACAGAUUUAAAAAAUCGUUUGUCUAAUUGGCCAAUCAGCGCUCAGUCCAGAUUCUGGACUGAAUAACCAGGCAAAAUGCCGCUUUUGUGUCAGGCCGUACUUUUCUCUUCGCCCGCGAUCAGGCGUGCCUGUGCCCUAAAAAGUACGGCCUGAUACUCAGGUUAUAUUUAGCUAAGCCCUGUUUACACUACGCUCAAUUUUUGGUACCGUACCACUUUUUGGUUCUUGGACUACUUACCUAACCAAAAAAGUGGUACCAAUUUUAUCCGUGCCGUACCAAAAAUUGAGCGUAGUGUAAACGGGGCUUAAAGCUAUUUUCCUAUGGUGAAAACUCUUGUCAGUAGAAUUUUGAUGGUUCUCUCCUGCAUGUGCACAUGUUUAAUUUCUCUGGAUACCUCAGUUUCCCUCUCACCUAAAACAAACCUUUUAGGUCUCAGCUGAUGAGCUUAUGAUUAGGCUAGAUCGAGCGACCACACCCUGUGUCAUAAACAUUGAAUAGAUCAUCAUCAUUGAGUUUGAAAUGAUUUAUUACUAACAAUACACAAUCUAACUCAUUUUAGACUGCCCGCUGUCUCAAAACCGAUCAGUUUGAAGGCAAACAGUAGAGAAAGGACUCGAAGAGACGUCAAGCAGUCGGAAGUAAAAUGACAAAGGACACAUGUGGACCAUCAGCAGCGUUAUAGACCUUAACUCGAUUCCUUUGCUAACCAUCAGAAUUCAUGCCAGUUCGCGUUUGUGACAAAUUUGGAAGAAAUUGUUAUUCCCCCAAUGAGAUGUCAAGUCACACUAGAGACAAUAAUCAAUGCACAACAGUGACAAAACUACAGUCUUGACAGUGAUGACUAAUCUGUGUUGUAGACUUUAACUCGUUCAUUUGCAAACUAUGAGAAUUGAUCAACAGCUUUCCGUUUGUUCCAAAUUUGGAAGAUUGUUAAGUCACAACAGAUGUUGCACCAGAUACCAUAUUCAAUACACAUCAGCCACAGUUUUGACAGUGAUGGAACCCCAAAGGAAGAUAUAACCCAUCAUCGUCGGAUUCUAUUCAAUGUGCCAAGUUGGGAUGCAGUAACCUGUCAAACGAAACCACAACCUACAGUACUAAGCCACUAACCAUGGGAAUGAAGAAUGCUUUCUAGUUUGCAUAAAGUAGUUGCUCAGGAAAACGCCAUCAUUACACAAGGUAUAUAUUCUCCUGCAAUUUGAUGUUGUAAAUGCCUUUGCGGGCUUUGCCCACUUGGCUUGUGUAGUUGUAAAGACUGAUCACAUAGUCAAUAGGACAAGAACGUUAGGAAACUUGAUCGGUUC